AGGAGACCGGGAUAACAGUGGGAACUGCUGCUAAUACCGGGUACGCUUACAUAUUUCACGUAUGGGGGAAAGGCGGCCUCUGCUUGCAAGCUGCCACUCUUGGAUGGGCCCCGCGUCUCAUUAGCUUGUUGGUAGGUAACGGCCCACCAAGGCGACGAUGAGUAGCUGGUCUGAGAGGAUGAUCAGCCACACUGGGACUGGAACACGGCCCAGACUCCCACGGGAGGCAGCAGUGGGGAAUAUUGCGCAAUGGGCGAAAGCCUGACGCAGCGACGCCGCGUGAAGGGAAGAAGGCCUUCGGGUCGUAAACCUCUGUCAGGAGGGAAGAAACCAUGGGAGUCGAAUAGGCUCUCGUGCUGACGGUACCUCCGGAGGAAGCACCGGCUAACUCCGUGCCAGCCGCCGC
rnacentral:rRNA from 1 species